AAAAAGCUCGUAGUUGGAUUUCGGAACCGGCCGAUUGGUCCGUCCUCUGGAUCGUGUACUGAUCGGUCUGUUCUUCUUCGCGAAGACCGCGUAUGCUCUUAACUGAGUGGGCGUGGGAUUCGCGACGUUUACUUUGAAAAAAUUAGAGUGUUCAAAGCAGGCAGUCGCUUGAAUAUCUCAGCAUGGAAUAAUAGAAUAGGACUUUGGUCUUAUUUUGUUGGUUUCCGAGACCGAAGUAAUGAUUAAUAGGGACAGUUGGGGGCAUUCGUAUUUCAUUGUCAGAGGUGAAAUUCUUGGAUUUAUGGAAGACGAACUUCUGCGAAAGCAUUUGCCAAGGAUGUUUUCAUUAAUCAAGAACGAAAGUUGGAGGCUCGAAGACGAUCAGAUACCGUCCUAGUUCCAACCAUAAACGAUGCCGUCUGCGGAUCGGAGGUCGCUCAUGUAAGGCUCCUUCGGCACCGCUAUGAGAAAUCAAAGACUUCGGGUUCCGGGGGGAGUAUGUUCGCCAAGAAUAAAAACUUA
rnacentral:rRNA from 1 species